UGGGGAAUUUUGGACAAUGGGCGCAAGCCUGAUCCAGCCAUGCCGCGUGAGUGAAGAAGGCCUUCGGGUUGGUUAAAGACUCUUUUCUAGACGGAAAGAAAUCUCCUGGGCGAAUACCCUGGGAGGAUGACGGUACCGUAAGAAGAAGCACCGGCUAACUACGUGCC
rnacentral:rRNA from 1 species